rnacentral:rRNA from 1 species
CAGUCGCCACGGUAAUACGGAGGGGGCUAGCGUUGUUCGGAAUUACUGGGCGUAAAGCGCACGUAGGCGGCUUGGUAAGUUAGAGGUGAAAGCCCGGAGCUCAACUCCGGAAUUGCCUUUAAGACUGCCGAGCUAGUAGGUGAGAGAGGUAAGUGGAAUUCCGAGUGUAGAGGUGAAAUUCGUAGAUAUUCGGAAGAACACCGGUGGCGAAGGCGGCUUACUGGCUCAUUCUAGACGCUGAGGUGCGAAAGCGUGGGGAGCAAACAGGAUUAGAUACCCCAGUAGUCCCUGUCUCUUAUAA